rnacentral:rRNA from 1 species
AUUGAACGCUGGCGGCAGGCCUAACACAUGCAAGUCGAGCGAGCGGCGGACGGGUGAGUAAUGUAUGGGGAUCUGCCCGAAAGAGGGGGAUAACUACUGGAAACGGUGGCUAAUACCGCAUACCAUCGGAUUGACCCAUAUGGGAUUAGCUAUUAGGUGGGGUAAAGGCUCACCUAGGCGACGGUCUCUAGCUGUUCUGAGAGGAUGUGCGCCCACACGGGGAUUGAGCCAGGGCCAAGACCCCUACGGGAGGCAGCAGUGGGGAAUAUUGCACAAUGGGGGAAAGCCUGAUGCGGCAAGGCCGCGUGUAGGAAGAAGGCCUUAGGGCUGUAAAGUACGUUCAGCGGGGAGGCGUUACCCGCAGAAGAAGCACCGGCUAACUCCGUGCCAGCAGCCGCGGUAAUAC